rnacentral:rRNA from 1 species
UACGUAGGGGGCAAGCGUUGUCCGGAAUUAUUGGGCGUAAAGCGCGUGUAGGCGGCCAGAAAAGUCCGCUGUGAAAACUCGAGGCUCAACUUCGAGCUGUCGGUGGAAACUUUCUGGCUAGAGUCCGGAAGAGGAGAAUGGAAUUCCUGGUGUAGCGGUGAAAUGCGCAGAUAUCAGGAAGAACACCCGUGGCGAAGGCGGUUCUCUGGGACGGUACUGACGCUGAGACGCGAAAAGCGUGGGGAGCGAACAGG